CUCCGGCGCUGUUACUUUGAAAAAAUUAGAGUGCUCAAAGCAAGCUUAUGCUCUGAAUACAUUAGCAUGGAAUAACGUGAUAGGAGUCUGGUCCUAUUGUGUUGGCCUUCGGGACCGGAGUAAUGAUUAAUAGGGACUGUCGGGGGCAUUCGUAUUUCAUUGUCAGAGGUGAAAUUCUUGGAU
rnacentral:rRNA from 12 species